AACGAACGCUGGCGGCAGGCUUAACACAUGCAGGUCGAGCGCCCCGCAAGGGGAGCGGCAGACGGGUGAGUAACGCGUGGGAAUCUACCCAUCCCUACGGAACAACUCCGGGAAACUGGAGCUAAUACCGUAUACGUCCUUCGGGAGAAAGAUUUAUCGGGGAUGGAUGAGCCCGCGUUGGAUUAGCUAGUUGGUGGGGUAAUGGCCUACCAAGGCGACGAUCCAUAGCUGGUCUGAGAGGAUGAUCAGCCACACUGGGACUGAGACACGGCCCAGACUCCUACGGGAGGCAGCAGUGGUGAAUAUUGGACAAUGGGCGCAAGCCUGAUCCAGCCAUGCCGCGUGAGUGAUGACGGCCCUAGGGUUGUAAAGCUCUUUCGCAGGUGAAGAUAAUGACGGUAACCUGAGAAGAAGCCCCGGCUAACUUCGUGCCAGCCGCCGCGGUAAAAC
rnacentral:rRNA from 1 species